GCCUUCGUGGUGUAAUGGUCAUCACACUCGGCUCGUAUUCCAGAGGUCCAAGGUUCGAGUCUCGGCAAGGGUA
rnacentral:tRNA from 1 species